CCUAAACUGGCGUAGAGGAGGACCUUCCACCUCCCGCAUCUAAGAUCCGGUCACAUCCAAUGUCCAGACUCCUGACUUAACGUAAACAUCGUAAACAGAGUGUGUAUGUUGAAUAGUGUUGGUGUGUCUCUAACCCCCCUUUGGCUGGUAAAUCUGCUAGUUGACCCGCAGACCUUGCAUUCCUCAGCCAGGACAUAAACUGACUCCCCAUCCUGUCAGACUCGUGUCUGCCUGCUUGGCACAUCCUGCUUCCCCCCCUUUACCUAAUUCUUAAAUCAAGACAAGACAGCAAACCCCCAACUAAGCCCAUGAAAAUAACUUUUGAUUAUCAACGCAUAGAACGGGGUUCAUGUUUUUAUCUGGCGUUCAAAAGCAUCAUUUCUGAGUGCCCCUGAACGCAACAUCACAGCUCGCUAAUUUGUCCUGAAGUCUUCUCUGACAACAGAACAUCGAUCAUCUCCUCUGUGGUUGACCCUCACUGCUGGUGAAUUAUUGCUGACUCUGAGCUAAGUGGCCUAGUGUUCUCUGUCUACUCCACUUUGGACAUCUUGGUGACUCCUUGGUGAUCUGACACUAAGGUCCCACAUGAGUCAAAACACAUAGUAAAGUUGAAGCGAAACACUGAUGCCCAAGACCGACCGUGACUGUGGAAGUGACAUGGACUGUCAAAACAAUCCUGUGACAGUAUAUUGAUGUAAUACUAGCCUCUUACUGGUAAAUGUCUAUAUCUGGAGAUAUUUCACAGCAGCAAACAAGUAUUUAACUCAAUUCUUAA
ensembl:lncRNA